CUGGAUGAUGUGUGUGUGUGCUGGAUGAUGGGUGUUUGUGUGAGUGCUGGAUGAUGGGUGUGUGUGCUGGAUGAUGGGUGUGUGAGUGCUGGAUGAUGUGUGUGUGCUGGAUGAUGUGUGUGUGUGUGUGUGUGCUGGGAUGAUGUGUGUGUGAGUGCUGGAUGAUGUGUGUGUGUGCUGGAUGAUGUGUGUGUGUGUGCUGGAUGAGGUGUGUGUGUGUGCUGGAUGAUGGGUGUGUGAGUGCUGGAUGAUGUGUGUGUGUGUGCUGGAUGAUGUGUGUGUGUGUGUGCUGGAUGAUGUGUGUGUGUGCUGGAUGAUGGGUGUGUGUGAGUGCUGGAUGAUGGGUGUGUGAGUGCUGGAUGAUGUGUGUG